rnacentral:rRNA from 1 species
AGAGUUUGAUCAUGGCUCAGGAUGAACGCUAGCGGCAGGCUUAACACAUGCAAGCCGAGGGGCAGCAUAAUGGAUAGCAAUAUCUAUGGUGGCGACCGGCGCACGGGUGCGUAACGCGUAUGCAACCUACCUUUAACAGGGGAUAACACUGAGAAAUUGGUACUAAUACCCCAUAAUAUCAUAGAAGGCAUCUUUUAUGGUUGAAAAUUCCGAUGGUUAGAGAUGGGGCAUGCGUUGUAUUAGCUAGUUGGUGGGGUAACGGCUCACCAAGGCGACGAUACAUAGGGGGACUGAGAGGUUAACCCCCCACACUGGUACUGAGACACGGACCAGACUCCUACGGCAGGCA